rfam:Streptococcus macacae NCTC 11558 final_molecule, whole genome shotgun sequence.
GUUCCUGUGCAACCGCACGAAAAUCGUUUUUAAGUAAUUGUAACAGUUCACGAUUUAGGCGAGUCUUCACGGAGGA